GGGAGGUUGUGGGGGGGGUGGUGUGUUGUGGGUGGGACGAGAGGAGGAGAGGACAGAAUAUGAAUGCCAAAUAUCAUUUUAGUUGCCUUUACUUAGUUAGAGCCUUGACAAGCAUUCUCGUUCAAGUCUUUUUAUUUUGUUUCUUUUAAUUUUAUAAGUGGGGUGUUUUCACUUCAUGCAUUGAGCUACAACUCAAAAAUAUGGAAAGAUAUUAGAGUAUCAAGGUAAGACUAACUACCAAGAUCCUGAUGUAAGGACAAACUUAAAAAUACAGCAGUAGGAAAAAAAAUGAGCAAAUGAGGAAAACCAGAAUCAAAUAUAUGUAUAUGCAUCCAAAUCAACAUGAAUAAUCUCCUUGCAAAAAAGAAAGAAUAGAUUACACAGAGAAGACACUUAAUAUUUAUUUGAAAAAUUGGAGAAUAUUAACACUUCAAGCAAAUGUUAAACAUCAUCCAUGUCAGCUUAAUUUUCAGCAAACAAGCAUCAAUAUUAAUCAUCAAAGAGAAACAAAUUUCCUAGUCUUUUCAUUCAAAAUAUUCAUCAAGAAACCCAUCAAUCCUAAAUAAAAAUCAUUGCUUCAGUGACUCUACAAAAGCAAAAUCAAAAAAGCUCUAUUGUCCUCUAAAGCAGCUCUCAAC
rnacentral:misc_RNA from 1 species